rnacentral:rRNA from 1 species
GAUGAACGCUGGCGGCGUGCUUAACACAUGCAAGUCGAGCGAGAAGUUUUGAAAAGAUUCUUCGGAUGAAAUUUAAAAUGGAAAGCGGCGGACGGGUGAGUAACGCGUAGGCAACCUGCCCCAUACAAAGGGAUAGCAUUUGGAAACGAAUAUUAAUACCUUAUGAAACUUAACUAGUGCAUGCUAGGUAGGUCAAAGAUUGAUCGGUAUGGGAUGGGCCUGCGUCUGAUUAGCUAGUUGGUGAGGUAACGGCUCACCAAGGCGACGAUCAGUAGCCGACCUGAGAGGGUGAACGGCCACAUUGGAACUGAGACACGGUCCAAACUCCUACGGGGGGCAGCAGUGGGGAAUAUUGCACAAUGGGGGAAACCCUGAUGCAGCAACGCCGCGUGAACGAUGAAGGCCUUUGGGUCGUAAAGUUCUGUUCUAGGUGAUGAAAACUGACAGUAACCUAGGAGAAAGCCCCGGCUAACUCCGUGCCAGCAGCCGCGGUAAUACGGAGGGGGCAAGCGUUAUCCGGAAUUAUUGGGCGUAAAGGGUACGUAGGUGGCCUUUUAAGCGUAGGGUAUAAGGCAAUGGCUCAACCAUUGUUCGCCCUAUGAACUGGAAGGCUUGAGUGCAGGAGAGGAAAGCGGAAUUCCUAGUGUAGCGGUGGAAUGCAUAGAUAUUAGGAGGAACAUCAGCGGCGAAGGCGGCUUUCUGGACUGCAACUGACACUGAGGUACGAAAGCGUGGGGAGCAAACAGG